rnacentral:rRNA from 1 species
AUUGAACGCUGGCGGCAGGCCUAACACAUGCAAGUCGAACGGUAACAGGAAGAAGCUUGCUUCUUUGCUGACGAGUGGCGGACGGGUGAGUAAUGUCUGGGAAACUGCCUGAUGGAGGGGGAUAACUACUGGAAACGGUAGCUAAUACCGCAUAACGUCGCAAGACCAAAGAGGGGGACCUUCGGGCCUCUUGCCAUCGGAUGUGCCCAGAUGGGAUUAGCUAGUAGGUGGGGUAACGGCUCACCUAGGCGACGAUCCCUAGCUGGUCUGAGAGGAUGACCAGCCACACUGGAACUGAGACACGGUCCAGACUCCUACGGGAGGCAGCAGUGGGGAAUAUUGCACAAUGGGCGCAAGCCUCAUGCAGCCAUGCCGCGUGUAUGAAGAAGGCCUUCGGGUUGUAAAGUACUUUCAGCGGGGAGGAAGGGAGUAAAGUUAAUACCUUUGCUCAUUGACGUUACCCGCAGAAGAAGCACCGGCUAACUCCAUG